rnacentral:rRNA from 1 species
GAAAUAGAACCUGAAACCGUGUGCUUACAAGUAGUCAGAGCCCGUUAAUGGGUGAUGGCGUGCCUUUUGUAGAAUGAACCGGCGAGUUACGAUUUGAUGCAAGGUUAAGCAGUAAAUGUGGAGCCGUAGCGAAAGCGAGUCUGAAUAGGGCGUUUAGUAUUUGGUCGUAGACCCGAAACCAGGUGAUCUACCCUUGGUCAGGUUGAAGUUCAGGUAACACUGAAUGGAGGACCGAACCGACUUACGUUGAAAAGUGAGCGGAUGAACUGAGGGUAGCGGAGAAAUUCCAAUCGAACCUGGAGAUAGCUGGUUCUCUCCGAAAUAGCUUUAGGGCUAGCCUCAAGUGAUGAUUAUUGGAGGUAGAGCACUGUUUGGACGAGGGGCCCCUCUCGGGUUACCGAAUUCAGACAAACUCCGAAUGCCAAUUAAUUUAACUUGGGAGUCAGAACAUGGGUGAUAAGGUCCGUGUUCGAAAGGGAAACAGCCCAGACCACCAGCUAAGGUCCCAAAAUAUAUGUUAAGUGGAAAAGGAUGUGGCGUUGCCCAGACAACUAGGAUGUUGGCUUAGAAGCAGCCAUCAUUUAAAGAGUGCGUAAUAGCUCACUAGUCGAGUGACACUGCGCCGAAAAUGUACCGGGGCUAAACAUAUUACCGAAGCUGUGGAUUGUCCUUUGGACAAUGGUAGGAGAGCGUUCUAAGGGCGUUGAAGCAUGAUCGUAAGGACAUGUGGAGCGCUUAGAAGUGAGAAUGCCGGUGUGAGUAGCGAAAGACGGGUGAGAAUCCCGUCCACCGAUUGACUAAGGUUUCCAGAGGAAGGCUCGUCCGCUCUGGGUUAGUCGGGUCCUAAGCUGAGGCCGACAGGCGUAGGCGAUGGAUAACAGGUUGAUAUUCCUGUACCACCUAUAAUCGUUUUAAUCGAUGGGGGG